UACGUAGGGAGCAAGCGUUGUCCGGAAUCAUUGGGCGUAAAGCGCGCGUAGGCGGCCCGAUAAGUCCGCUGUAAAAGUCAACGGCUCAACUGUUGAAAGCCGGUGGAUACUGUCGAGCUAGAGUACGGAAGAGGCAAGUGGAAUUCCUGGUGUAGCGGUGGAAUGCGCAGAUAUCAGGAGGAACACCCAUAGCGAAGGCAGCUUGCUGGGACGUUACUGACGCUAAGGCGCGAAAGCGUGGGGAGCGAACAGG
rnacentral:rRNA from 1 species